rnacentral:lncRNA from 1 species
UCAAGUUCAAGCCGCGGUGGCCGGAGUGGUUGAACCGAUCCUAUUUGGGCGUGGAAAGAAUCGCCGGCCACAUUGGCAUAUAGAGGCUCCUGGAUUUUUGUGGAUAAUAUGAGGACAGACAAGCUUUGUAUUGAAUUCGAUUGACACGUGUAUAUAGAAAAUAUAAAUCUAAUACAGCCGAUUUUAUAUUUAUUUUUAUGUGCUUGGUUUUUGUGAUGUGGGGUAGAUCCAAUUCGAAGGGGCUAUGUGGCUUUGGAUUGAAGGAAAAGAGAAUG